rnacentral:rRNA from 1 species
CUCAGCGAAAUUGAAUUCUCCGUGAAGAUGCGGAGUACCCGCGGUUAGACGGAAAGACCCCGUGCACCUUUACUACAGCUUCACACUGGCAUCAGGCCAAGCAUGUGCAGGAUAGGUGGUAGGCUUCGAAGCAGGGACGCCAGUCCCUGUGGAGCCUCCCUUGAGAUACCACCCUUGUUUUGCUUGAUGUCUAACCGCGGUCCGUUAUCCGGAUCCGGGACCCUGCGUGGUGGGUAGUUUGACUGGGGCGG